GGGUGUUAUACCCGUUCCCAUUCCGAACACGGAAGUCAAGCCCCCCUACGCCGAUGAUACUGCCGUCCAAACGGUGGGAAAGUAGGAAGCCGCCAGGC
rnacentral:rRNA from 1 species